UCUUCCUGUCAUAAGCUCCACACACUGUGAGUUGUACAUGGAUGUUCUGAUUGGUCACUGAAUGUCAGCUCCUCCUUCCAUGAUUGUGGUCAGCUAUAAAUAAGAACACAUGGGGAUGGAUGUCAGCUUGACAUCUGGAUGUUCAUUGGGAUAACUGAAUCCUGCCAACUCUUGUCAACAGUAUCUUGGGUGGACCACACAACGAAAUUACCAUAAUGGCGUCCAAGGUCCCAUCAUCAGAAAUGAAAAGCACCAAAGGCACAAUUCUAAGUGAACUUCUCCCUGAAGGAGGUCCUGCACGUUGUCAAUUAAUAA